rnacentral:rRNA from 1 species
AGUUGCGAUCAUACCAUCACUAAUGCACCGGAUCCCAUCAGAACUCCGCAGUUAAGCGUGCUUGGGCGAGAGUAGUAUUAGGAUGGGUGACCCCCUGGGAAGUCCUCGUGUUGCAACCCC